rnacentral:rRNA from 1 species
AACGAACGCUGGCGGCAGGCCUAACACAUGCAAGUCGAACGGUUGUAGCAAUACAGCCGUGGCGCACGGGUGAGUAACGCGUGGGAAUCUGCCCAGUAGUACGGAAUAACAGUUGGAAACGACUGACAAUACCGUAUACGCCCUUCGGGGGAAAGUUUUUCGCUAUUGGAUGAUCCCGCGUCAGAUUAGCUAGUGGGUGGGGUAAUGGCCUACCAAGGCGACGAUCUGUAGCUGUUCUGAGAGGAAGACCAGCCACACUGGAACUGAGACACGGUCCAGACUCCUACGGGAGGCAGCAGUGGGGAAUAUUGGACAAUGGGCGAAAGCCUGAUCCAGCCAUGCCGCGUGAGUGAUGAAGGCCUUAGGGUUGUAAAGCUCUUUUGGCGGGGAAGAUAAUGACGGUACCCGCAGAAUAAGUUCCGGCUAACUUCGUGCCAGCCGCCGCGGUAA